GACAGAGGUCCCAAGCGUUGUUCGGAUUCAUUGGGCGUAAAGGGUGCGUAGGUGGCGCCGUAAGUCAGGUGUGAAAUCUCGGGGCUUAACUCCGAAACUGCAUUUGAUACUGCGGUGCUUGAGGACUGGAGAGGAGACUGGAAUUUACGGUGUAGCAGUGAAAUGCGUAGAGAUCGUAAGGAAGACCAGUGGCGAAGGCGGGUCUCUGGACAGUUCCUGACACUGAGGCACGAGGGCCAGGGGAGCAAACGGG
rnacentral:rRNA from 1 species